GUAAUCUAAAAAUAAUUAGUUUUGUUUUUCACGAAUUUAGGCGAGCUAAAGUUACCGUAGUUUUAGUUAUAGUUUUCUAGCGUUGUAUCGCUAUUUUUAGAGGGAACUUUAGGGGUGAUAGGCCUAUCAAGUCUUAGGAUAUCUUGCUAUUUAGGAAAUAUAUUUAGUAUAAAAGUCAAUAGGAGAAUGGUUAGGUUUUUCUAGGAUACUAUUUUAGGUCAAGAUUAUUUGGUUGUCGUAAAAGACCCUCACUAUUUUAAUUUAUAAUAUAUUACUUAUUAUUUGUAACCCGUACUAAAUUGUUCAAUCAAUUUAUUUAUUGUAGUAAAAAUGAUUACAUUAGUAUAGCCCAAAAUAUUUUAUAGGAACUCGGCAACAUAUAUUCUCGACUGUUUAUCAAAAACAUAGCUUUAAGCUUGUAUUUAAAGUAAAACCUGCUCAAUGAUUAUUUAAAUAGCCGCAGUACCUUGACUGUGCAAAGGUAGCAUAAUCAAUUGGCUUAUAAUUGAAGUCUAGUAUGAAAGGGAAUCCGGGGAGUUACUGUCUUUAAAAUAAGUAUAGACCUUACUUAUUAAGUGAAAAUUCUUAAAUAUACAAAAAAGACGAGAAGACCCUAGAAAUUUUUUUAAUGCGGAAUCGGGUAAUUUUGUUGGGGCGACAAGGUAACAAUGAACUUACCUAUAAUCAAUAAGAAAUUAUUUAGUUGGGUAACCAAAUUACUCUAGGGAUAACAGCAUAAUAUUAUAAAGUUUGUGACCUCGAUGUUGGACUAGGGUAGAUAAUGUCUAAAAGAUGUUCUACUUAGCUCUGUUCGAGCUUUCAACCCUACAUGAUCUGAGUUCAGACCGG
rnacentral:rRNA from 1 species